rnacentral:rRNA from 1 species
CCUACGGGAGGCAGCAGUGGGGAAUAUUGCGCAAUGGGCGAAAGCCUGACGCAGCGACGCCGCGUGAGGGAUGAAGGUCUUCGGAUCGUAAACCUCUGUCAGCAGGGAAGAACGGUCACUGUGCUAAUCAGCAGUGAAUUGACGGUACCUGCAAAGGAAGCACCGGCUAACUCCGUGCCAGCAGCCGCGGUAAUACGGAGGGUGCGAGCGUUAAUCGGAAUUACUGGGCGUAAAGCGCUCGUAGGCGGUAUGUCAAGUCAAGGGUGAAAGCCCCGUGCUCAACGUGGGAACUGCCUUUGAAACUGGCAAACUGGAGUGUGUGAGAGGAUAGUGGAAUACCUGGUGUAGGAGUGAAAUCCGUAGAUAUCUGGAGGAACAUCAGUGGCGAAGGCGACUAUCUGGCACAUAACUGACGCUGAGGAGCGAAAGCGUGGGUAGCAAACAGGAUUAGAUACCCCUGUAGUC